UGGAUUUCAGUUUUGUUAACCAGCAGAAUAUUUAUCCAGCUAGUCAAAGUGGUACAAGUCCACUGACCCAGAAACUACUUGGUCCUACUGUAGCUUUAAGGAAUAUUCAGUGUACAUAUAUGUGUCUGGAGGUGAUCUUCCCAAACCUGUGGAGUC
rnacentral:lncRNA from 12 species